GGCGGUCAUCUCAGCGCAUGCAUGCAAAUCCAGGCGGAUCUUUGGACUUUGGUGUUGGUCAAGGCCUCCGGACCUCAGCGAAUCUCUCAAAUGACGACACCUGAUGGCUAAGCACAUACACAUGUCGCAAAUAAUCCAACAAGUUUUCUUAAUACGUAACGCUUGAAGAAAACCUGUGGCCCCGCAUGUCAGUGACACAACAGGAAUUUUGUUUUUCUUGUUAUUUUCUCUUUACAAAUUUAUAUAAUUGUAUUCUGGC
rnacentral:lncRNA from 1 species